CACCACAAUCCCCACAGACCCCAGGCCGCUUUUUCUCCUCUGUCCAGGGUCCAAUGGUCUGUGCUCCCUCAGAUGGAUGAUGUAAUCGAAUUCUGCUGUAAGAUAUCAAAGAAUACCCAGAUUGAAGCGGCUGUAAAAAAAUCUAAAAGAGGAGCUGCAGCUGCUGCGGGAGGAGCUUUUAUAGGAGGACUAGUCGGAGGCCCACCCGGUAUAUUUAUUGGUGGUACUUUGGGAAGUGCUGUGGGAUGGUGGAUAAGUAAAGACCAAUUCCGUCCUCUUCAUCAGAUCAUAAUGGAGAUGUCUCCUAAACAGAAGGAGAAACUGUACUCUGAGAUCAUUAACAAUCUGAAAAAUCUGGCAUGGGAUAAUGUGUCUGAACUUAUUUUGUCAGUGAUAAAUAAUCCCUCUCUAAAGAAGCAAAUACUUGAUAUUUUAGAGUCUUUUGCCAAAGAGCAGCUCAGAGCCAAAGUGAAGUAUGGAAAAAAAUAGCAUCUUAUAAUUUCACCUGGGGGUUUCAUAAAACAAGUUUACCAAAUAAGCCAGGUUUAUAUAAUUUAGUCUGACUUUUUUUAUCGUAUGUUUUGUUUCAAAAUAAAUCAGACUAACUGAAAUACACCUGGCUUAUUUGGUAAACUUGUUUUAUGAAACAGCCCUCUGCUUAGUCUAGUUUGACUAUCUGAAGAGCUUUUGAGGUUUUGUUGUUUCUAAAAAAAAAAAGUGAAUUAUUUUAUUUUUCUUUAUUAUAAACACUUAUAGCAGCCCUUCAGCAUCCAAUAAUGGAGGAGUUUUGAUGAUUGACUUUGAUUUAUUUACUCUGGAAUAAACUUAAUUACUGAAGUA